GAUGAAGAACGUAGCGAAAUGCGAUAAGUAAUGUGAAUUGCAGAAUUCCGUGAAUCAUCGAAUCUUUGAACGCACAUUGCGCCCCUCGGUAUUCCGGGGGGCAUGCCUGUCCGAGCGUCAUUGCAACCUUCAAGCGCGGCUUGUGUGUUGGGCUUCGUCCCCCCGUGGACGGGCCUGAAAGGCAGUGGCGGCGCCCGAAUCCGGUGCCCGAGCGUAUGGGAAAUCUUCUCCGCUCAACGUGGCCCGGCGGACGCUGGUCGUUUAACCCGAGGAUCUUGCAUCCUUUCACCGGUUGACCUCGGAUCAGGUAGGGAUACCCGCUGAACUUAAGCAUAUCCAAUAAGCGGAGGA
rnacentral:misc_RNA from 1 species